GUUGGUUAUCCAUGCAACAACCACUUCCUCAUUCUUUUCAAUGCUAACGGAACCAUGACUUUUGUUCAGAUACCCACACUGCUCUGUGAAAUAAAGUGUUUCGGCCAGAGCUUGCUCAAGCAUCAGAACUGGAAGUUGAAUGUUGAUUCUCUAAGUCAAUCAUUCUGAUUCUAUUCUCCAGAGUGUGGCUUAGGAAAUGGCAUAUGACCACACUCUGGUCAGUGAGACAUGAAGGGAAUUUUUAGGAGACUAGAGACUUCUAAUAAAAUGUUGUUAGCUCUUUAAAAAUGACCAUUUUGUAAGGCCAAGACAGGAGGCUCACUUGAGCACAAGCGCUUGAGACCAACCUGGGCAACAUAGUGAGACUCGGUCUCUACAAAAAAUAAAAAAAAAAAAUUGGCUGAGUGUGAUCCUACACCUGUACUCCCAGCUACAUACACCUGUACUCCCAGCUCUGGAGACUGAAGCAGGAGAAUCACCCGAGCCUGGGAGCUUGAGGCCACAGUGAGCCAUGUUUACACUACUGCACUACAGCCUGGAUAACAGGUCUGGCCACUCAAAUACCGCCUGACACAAGGGGAAGUGUGAUGGACAGAGAAGGCACGAGACGAGACAGUGGCCUGAACAAAUCACAGUCAAGUCCCAGGGUGACCCAAGACCUCGAGAAGCCCUAAGUCAUGAAGAGGAUGUCCUCCACUGCUACCUCCCCUACGUGUCAUUCCAAAGAAGAGACAGCAGAAUUCAAUAUAAAUCUUGUUGACGUGAUACAUCUAUCUAUUCAAACAGCUGCCUCUGUUACCUUGACUUGGAUUCUGACGACCCAAGACCGGUCCUGGCACUGGGAAUCAGCCUGUGGAGUCACUGAUAGACCACCAAGGAUGUCAGCAACCAACGUUGAGGAACACAGCUCUGGGCCGAAGUAAGCAGCUGCCUGGCACCAGAACUCUCUACUUCCUGCUCUGCUGUGAAGGCUGGAGCCCCCUUGGCAACACCAGCCCACUUUUCCAGCAGGUACUACAGGCUCUAUACAAGUCCUUCCCAGCAUCAGUCAAGAAGCAAGAACAUAUUCUCUCAAAAGAAGCCAGACCUCAGCCAGAUUCAGGAGAAUCAGCCAGGGGACCCCACUCUCUGAGAGACUUCAAUCUCUCUGAACAUCAGUUUCCUUCUCCAGAAAAUGCAGAUCAUAAUGUCUCCCUAAUAGGACUGUUGGGAGGAAUAGACUAAUUGAGAUGUCAACUGUCGUACACCAAAUACAGAGACUGGUACAUACCAUGGACUUUGUAAUUAGUAGUUGUAACUAUCUUCUAUCUUUUUAUGUCCCCAUAGUAUUUAGAAAGAUAGGAUAUCAAAAGCUGGGACACUUAACCCCAC
rnacentral:lncRNA from 10 species